GUGGGGAAUCUUCCGCAAUGGACGAAAGUCUGACGGAGCAACGCCGCGUGAGUGAAGAAGGUUUUCGGAUCGUAAAGCUCUUUCGUUAGUGACGAACGUGCUCUUUGUGAAUAAUGAGGAGUAAUGACGGUACCUAAAUAAGAAGCCACGGCUAACUACGUGCCAGCAGCCGCGGUAAUACGUAGGUGGCAAGCGUUGUCCGGAAUUAUUGGGCGUAAAGCGCGCGCAGGCGGGAUAUCAAGUCUGUCUUAAAAGUGCGAGGCUCAACCUCGUGAGGGGACAGAAACUGGUAUUCUUGAGUGUCGGAGAGGAAAGUGGAAUUCCAAGUGUAGCGGUGAAAUGCGUAGAGAUUUGGAAGAACACCAGUGGCGAAGGCGACUUUCUGGACGAUGUCUGACGCUGAGGCGCGAAAGCUAGGGGAGCGAACGGGAUUAGAUACCCUAGUAGUCC
rnacentral:rRNA from 1 species